GAUUGCCGGUUGUCGAGACAUAUUCGCAAAACAUCGGCAGCCAGCCUAAUGACCCGUCAUAAACCUUAAACCUUAAUUAACGAAAAUAGGCAAACAGUCUUUUCCGUGAAGGACACUUCCAAAGACUGACCAAUUAACAACAACGGCAAUUUCCCUCACUCUCCGAACGAAGACUUAUCUCCACGAAUAUAAAAGACCUAGUGCCGCUAGAGAGUGAAGCAGUUUUUCCUAAACAGCGUCACCGUGAGAGUUUCGAGUACGAUUUCAUCGACUAAGGCGUUGCCGACGAGUAAAGAGUAAAAGAGUCCCGUUGACCGCGGAUUCGUUAUCGGACCUAAGACUAUUGUCAUUCGCAUCGCGAGUACCUAACCGCCGCAGUUUAUUUGUCAAACCUCACAUCUCCAUACUUGUGUCAAUAAACUCUGGAUCAUACCUUGACAAUGGCUACUACUGGUGAAGAUUCGUUACCUGCCCACACCUCAAAUCCUAGUGCCUC
rnacentral:misc_RNA from 1 species